rnacentral:rRNA from 1 species
UUAGGAAUUUUGCGCAAUGGGAGAAAUCCUGACGCAGCAACGCCGCGUGGGUGAUGAAGGCCUUCGGGUUGUAAAGCCCUUUUAGUGGGGACGAAAUAAAUGACGGUACCCGCAGAAAAAGCACCGGCUAACUCUGUGCCAGCAGCCGCGGUAAUACAGAGGGUGCAAGCGUUAUUCGGAAUUACUGGGCGUAAAGCGCAUGUAGGCGGUUCGGUAAGUUUGAUGUGAAAGCCCCCGGCUCAAUCGGGGAAGUGCAUCGGAUACUGCCGGACUGGAGUACAGGAGGGGAGAACGGAAUUCCUGGUGUAGAGGUGAAAUUCGUAGAUAUCAGGAGGAACAACGGCGGCGAAGGCGGUUCUCUGGACUGUAACUGACGCUGAGAUGCGAAAGCGUGGGGAGCAAACA